UUUUCUUAGCAGUAGAUACAGUACUUCCCCCUCCUCGUGUUAAAAUGCAGAUGCAAUGUCUGUUGAAAUAGAUUCUGAAAUAACCAAGAAACCUAGAAAUUGUCUGUUACCCCAAAACCUUUAUGGCAACUUUUUUCUUCAGAGAUCUUUCUGCUGUUUUGCAAACAUUAUUCAUUCUUCCAGUCUCCUUCAGGUACUGGGUGCUCCUACCAUGCCUGCAAUGCCAGAAGUUACUGCUGUUGGCGAGGGUGGCCAACUUGGACAUGCCGUCCCCUAGGAGAUGGAGACAAGUCACCUGCACCCUUCAGAUAGCCAAAAACAAACAAACAAGCAAUGAAAGACCAAUAUCUUUGGGUCCUUGCCAAUCUGUGCUGGCAUUCGAGCAGCUGGAAUGGGCUUUAUUCCAUUACAAGGCAGCCACUGGGUUCGUCUCGGUUCUAUAAUUAUCUUCAUUGUAAUCCAAUAAGGCCUUGGAAAGGUUCUUAGAAAGCUUUUGUUUAUAGGGGAUGCAAAGGUCGCUGAUUCUACUGCUGUAUAGCUGACCGUAAUUGUACUGAUCUCACUUGUGUAAUUUCGUGUUUGCAUAACAGUCUUGUUAUUAGCAUGUAAAUUGUCCACGCAUUCUGCAGUAAUGAAAUGUCUGUAAUUUUGAGCGAUUAAUGUGAGUGCUGUCAGACCCCACUGUAGGACGGUCCUUUGUAAAUGCGCUGUUAAGUGUGUACGGAUUUGGAAUGUGAUUGAAUCCCAGGGGGCUCAACCUUGCCAAUGGAGCUAGGGCAGGGCUCAAGAGACGCACAUUGCCUCCAAAAUCAGGAUCCUAUCCAAUGAACACAUCUGUCCUGCGCAGAACUUGACUCGUAUUGCGGUACUAAGGUCUGAAUUUAUCUCCUCAUAUAAUGUGCUGCUCUUUUUUUCCCUGCAGUUAAUAUUUUCUGUAUUAUUAUGAAAAAUGCUUUUAAGUGGAGUUGAAAGGUAAAUUCAUGCAUUCGUGUAUGCAAGUAUAAUUUUCUUUUCAGUACUUAAUAUGUUGGGCCGUAGGUUUGAAAUUGAUGUAAAAAGGAUGAAGGUAACCAUUUUGGAAAGUGCUGUCUUCAAGCCAGCUAUUAAUUCCCACCAUAAUGUACCCCAGUAAGGGGCCUGAUUCUUUUCUUUCUUCAUUCCUCUCUUUUUCAAAGAGCCAUGCAUCCCUCUGUUCCUAAUGAAGGCAGUCUGAACGCCAAGAAAAUCAGGCCCAUUUACUUAAAGACUUAAUUACGCGAUGAGGUGCCUAAUAUUGGACUCCUAAUUUUUGAAAUCUUGGUUGUAGGCAUUCUUUUCAGGGAUAUCUCUGGCUGAAUGACAACAGAACUUAAAGAAAUGCAGAUUGGAGAGUGCUUCUUGAUCUUCAGUCUGAUAGACAUUGCAGUUGUUCUUCAUGGCUUUUUGCUCUGAGGGUUCAUAUUUUCAGUGAAAGAACUUGUUCCCUGCAUGUAUCGAUGUCCCACUGCAGAGGAGAUGUCACCCGACCUGGCAUGUCAGAGCAGACAGAGCUCCCGGGUGAAAGAGAGCAUCAGCUGAAAAAGGACACCUGAUUUCCAGCUGGGAAUAUUACCUUGUGUGAACCAGAAUGACUAGAGGUGGUUCACCUAGAGGCUAGUUAAUGGCAGCCAGAUAGUGCUUAAGCAAUAUCUUAUCCUAGAAAAUUAUGUUCAUGAUCUGUUUUUUACCACAAAAGCUGGUGCAAGACAGGAGUCUCUAUAGUCCUCCCUGCAAUUAAUGUGGAAAACCCAGGAUAAUUCCAUGGGAUCUGCAUGCUCAAAGCACUCCUGGAAAGGGUGGGACUGACAGAAGCGACAGGCCAGCACGGACAGCAGUGACUUUGAAGGAAGUCAGUUACUGCGUCUGGGGGGGGAAGAAAGUCUUCAUGUUUACUGGGGCUGUGGGGACUUGCCAUCUUCAUUAAAGAAUUGACAUACUUUUUAAAAGGGGAAUGUAUGUGAAGAAAGGAGAAAGAUUUGCAUUUGCUGAUGUUCCAUAAGAAGCAAAAGUUUGACCAUAAAAGAACAGCUUGUUUAAGAGAGAGAUCUUGUAGGGAGCUUGCUGCUCCCUAGGGAAGAUGUGAUGCCAUGGCAUGGGUCUGCUUAGAGAACUGGUUGUCCUGUUUGUGAUCCCUGCAGUUCCAGAGCAGACUUCUUUAACUACAAGUGCAUUUAGCUUCUUGAGCAUUGCAAAAUUGCCUUAAAACCAUGCUGAGCUGCCUUCGAUAAAAUGCCCAUUUUAAUUCCUGAUGCGGGAAAAUUCUGCCUUCUAAGGGUGCUGCAGGGGUGUGAGAAAAGGAACCAAAUUCUUCCUCAUCACUGCCCUUAGUCUGUAUUUCUAAUGGCCCUGGAAAGCCAGCGUUAAAACUUGUCCUGAGGCAGCAUUUAGGAGAGGGGCUUUGAUAAUCUGAUUUCCAGUGACUACCUACAUAUUUCAGGUGUGUUGUAUGUGCUAAAGGCGGAGGAGGCUGGCAGACAGCAGUAAGUUUGAGUUAUCUGUAUUUUCUUCCAGGAUUUGCUCUGCCCUAUCCUCCACUAGCCAAAGGCUGUAGCAAGGGAUAACGUUAAUGUGGAAUCUUCAGGUCUCUGUCCUGAGAUGCCUCAGCUUUCAGAUGACAAAGCAAAGGUGUUUGACAAGAGCAAAGAGGAGACGAGUCUCUCACCCUACGGUAAGAACCUAUCUUUCCUUUUUCUCACUUAAGCCUUGGAACCAUGGCUAUAAGAAACAUAUUACACUUGCCAGGGAGUGCUGAGAGCCCCAAAUGAAGCUGUCAUCCACGUGGAGGUGAGACCUAUCAGCAGACAAGGCUGGCCAGGCACUGGCGCUCAGCAAGGACAUGAGUCAGAUGGAGAAAGGGCUGGCAGGCGUGCAGAGAAAGCGGUGCAGUAGGAGGCAGAAAGCAGCUGGCAGUGCAGGAGGGAGAAGUAAUGGGAACGAACAGGAGGAGGAGGAGGGAAUACAAGAAGUCCUCAUUCUUGCACAGAUAUUCAGUGUGCUAUUCAGCAAAAAUAAUGUUAGGAUUUCAAAGAAAUAUUCAAAUAAAUGUUGUUCCUUUUAAUUCUUUAAUAAAAGCAGAUAUAUGUGCAUUUCCCCCUCCAGCCCCAGCCUGUUCUAAUAGCAUUACCUUUAGCUUCACCCUAUUCUACAUUUUCCAUGUGAAGUUGUCUCAGCAGAUCCAAUCAGGUAUAUUUCAUUGCUCAAUGGUAGAGAGGAAAUGAAUUUUUCUGAUGAGGGCAAAGCGCAGUGAAUAGCCUGAUUCUCCUCCCCAAUACCAUUUGCAAUCAGUUUUGUGCUGCAAAUGAAGUCAAUGUUUUCCUGGGUCAGAGGUGGCUAAUUAUUCACAGUACUUUCAUUUCCAGCAGUAGAGUCAUCAUAUUUCUGCCAAUCAUCAUUCUAACUACGUUGUGCUUGAUUUACUUUGCAUUGCUCUUAGGUUUGCAAGUCUAGAUACUAUCCGGACUUGUUCUCUUUGUUGCAUUCCCUGGGCCAGUAGUUCUUGUGGCUCCUGAAGGGACAAACAGGAGGACUCUGGCACCAGUGCUGCAGUUUUCUUCCGCUUUAUGAGGUCAUGUCUGUUAAAAGAAUGAAAUGGGAAGGAGGAAGGAAUAUAACACUCAGUUAAUGUGUAGCUACCAAAACAGAGUUAUUUCACUGGAAUGGGUCAGCAUCAUCUCUGUUUUGUUUAAUGGCAAUAGAACCCCAAAGCCCAGAGAAGUGUAAGAGUCAAGGUACAGCUGGGGUUUGAACCUGUCUGUCUUCAUUCUCAGGCUGGUAUUUUCCCUGCUAGUGCUUAAUGCUUCCCUCUGAUGAGUGUUGAGAGCUCAGAUUGUUGCAGCGACCACGGAGGGGUUUACAGCAUCCUUUACAUUUAUCCCUUGCAGUUUUACCCUUGCAUUCACAGCACUAUUCCUAACGUAGAUCAGAGUAACUGAGCAUCCCUGCAUAUUCUCUGCAGCAAAUUGACUGAUGCACUGGUAGGGAUGGAAACCCAAAGAAACCAUGAUCCAGCCUUACCUUUUCUUGUAGUAGAAAGGUACUUUGUACGCAGAUCUGUUUAGAAAGAUUUUAAGAGGGCUCCAAAGUAGAUGCUAAUAAUUAAAAUGCUAAUUAAAAAUGUUCCCAAUGGUAUUCACUAGUAGUGUUGUCAGGGCGGGUGAGAUUUCAAUUAUCUUGCUAUUGCUCUUUGAACUAGAAAAGCGCCCUGCAGUGAGUAAAGACAGAGUACUUAAGCCCUGGCUGCUUCAUAGUGCUGAAGUGCUGACUUUCCUCUGGACUUCUGCAGUUUCUCUUUUUCAUAUUAAAAACAUACAAACAAACAAAAAACCCCACAAGUUUGUUCCUACGAUUCUGAAUGUACAAAAUGGCCACUUUGG